rnacentral:rRNA from 1 species
UACGGAGGGUGCAAGCGUUAUCCGGAUUCACUGGGUUUAAAGGGUGCGUAGGUGGGUCUGUAAGUCCGUGGUGAAAUCUCCGAGCUUAACUUGGAAACUGCCAUGGAUACUAUAGGUCUUGAAUACUGUGGAGGUCAGCGGAAUAUGUCAUGUAGCGGUGAAAUGCUUAGAUAUGACAUAGAACACCGAUUGCGAAGGCAGCUCGUUACACGAUUAUUGACACUGAGGCACGAAAGCGUGGGGAUCAAACAGG